GCAUAACGCGAAGAACCUUACCUGGCCUUGACAUUGGUGGAAUCUGCUAGAGAUAGCGGAGUGCCCUUCGGGGAGCUUGAAAACAGGUGCUGCACGGCUGUCGUCAGCUCGUGUCGUGAGAUGUUGGGUUAAGUCCCGCAACGAGCGCAACCCUCGUCACUAGUUACUAACGGUUCGGCCGAGGACUCUAGUGAGACUGCCUUCGUAAGGAGGAGGAAGGUGAGGACGACGUCAAGUCAUCAUGGCCCUUACGGCCAGGGCGACACACGUGCUACAAUGGGAUGUACAAUGAGACGCAAUACCGCGAGGUGGAGCAAAUCUAUAAAACAUCUCUCAGUUCGGAUUGUAGUCUGCAACUCGACUACAUGAAGCUGGAAUCACUAGUAAUCGUAGAUCAGCCAUGCUACGGUGAAUACGUUCCCGGGUCUUGUACACACCG
rnacentral:rRNA from 1 species